rnacentral:rRNA from 1 species
CCUACGGGUGGCUGCAGUCGAGAAUCAUUCACAAUGGGGGAGACCCUGAUGGUGCGACGCCGCGUGGGGGCAUGAAGGUCUUCGGAUUGUACACCCCUGUCAUCUGGGCGCAAAUUACAAAGAUAGUACCACAAGAGGAAGAGACGGCUAACUCUGUGCCAGCAGCCGCGGUAAUACAGCGGUCUCCAGCGUUGUUCGGCAUACUUGGGCGUAACGCGUGCGUAGGCUGUUUCGAAGUCGUGUGUGAAAGGCGCGGGCUCAACCCGCGGACGGCACAUGAUACUGCGAGACUAGAGUAAUGGAGGGGGAACCGGAAUGCUCGGUGGAGCAGUGAAAUGCGUAGAUAUCGAGAGGAACACUCGUGGCGAAGGCGGGUUCCUGGACAUGAACUGACGCUGAGGCACGAAGGCCAGGGGAGCGAAAGGGAUUAGAUACCCCAGUAGUC